rnacentral:rRNA from 1 species
CGUAGGGUGCGAGCGUUGUCCGGAAUUAUUGGGCGUAAAGGGCUCGUAGGCGGUUUGUCGCGUCGGGAGUGAAAACCUCGGGCUUAACUCGGGGCUUGCUUUCGAUACGGGCAGACUGGAGGUAUGCAGGGGAGAACGGAAUUCCUGGUGUAGCGGUGAAAUGCGCAGAUAUCAGGAGGAACACCGGUGGCGAAGGCGGUUCUCUGGGCAUGACCUGACGCUGAGGAGCGAAAGUGUGGGGAGCGAACAGG